AACUUUAAAACAUUAAUUCUCAUUAAUGUCACUGAAUGCAUUUUUUCAUAGCAACGAAGGGCAUCUGACGUAAUAUAGGGGAGAGUGGGGUAAAAUGAUCCCUUCGGGUCUAAAUGAUCCCUCGUUUUCUGGCCGUAUUCGCAAAUCUACCGAAGUACUGAGAUAUGACAACUAUGCAGCUUGCACCAUCUUUCAAUAUGCGGUACAGCCGACCGGGAUUUAGUUCCGACCAGACAAGCAACAAGCGAAAGUUAAAAUUUUUCCACCCCGAUCUAAAAAAAGCUGUUAAAUUUACGAUUAAUAUCUAGUGAUUUAAUAAUUGAAAACUGAUUGUGUUGGGCAUUACUCGUUGAGGUUAAAUAGCUGUAUUGAAGUGUAAGUUCAUUUAUUUUAUUAAUGUUAUAACUUAGGCUAUAUUCAAGGUUAGGAUAUUUAGUGUAUAAUGGGUUAAAAUGAUCCCUCUACUGCGGGGUAAAAUGAUCCUGCUCGCGAGUGGGAUCAUUUUACCCCGUAUCUCAUAAAAUGUACAUUUUUUAUUUUUAAUCAAAUCACAGUCGUUAACGAUUUCUUGUGCCAUCGAUGCUGAUUUAUAACA
rnacentral:lncRNA from 1 species